rnacentral:rRNA from 1 species
UAGGGAAUCUUCGGCAAUGGGGGGAACCCUGACCGAGCAACGCCGCGUGAGUGAAGAAGGUUUUCGGAUCGUAAAGCUCUGUUGUUAAGGAAGAACGAGUGUGAGAAUGGAAAGUUCAUGCUGUGAGGGUACUUAACCAGAAAGGGACGGCUAACUACGUGCCAGCAGCCGCGGUAAUACGUAGGUCCCGAGCGUUGUCCGGAUUUAUUGGGCGUAAAGCGAGCGCAGGCGGUUAGAAAAGUCUGAAGUGAAAGGCAGUGGCUCAACCAUUGUAGGCUUUGGAAACUGUUUAGCUUGAGUGCAGAAGGGGAGAGUGGAAUUCCAUGUGUAGCGGUGAAAUGCGUAGAUAUAUGGAGGAACACCAGUGGCGAAGGCGACUCUCUGGUCUGUAACUGACGCUGAGGCUCGAAAGCGUGGGUAGCAAACAGG